GAUAAAUAAACUUCGUACCUCGCUUCAAACCAACCUGAACAAGCACAUCAGUAUCAUCCAGACUUUACAAAGAGACUUCAGACAGAAGACGGAGUUUACAUUGGAGGGCCUGAGGGAUGCAAAUAUUCAGAUAAUGAGAUCUUUCAAGUAUGUCAUUGAUAUUUUCUGAAUAAGUAAUUAUCAGUGUUGUGUUUUGUAGUGAAUUAGAUACAUAAAAUUUGAAUAUAUUAAUAAUCAUUGUUGUCUUUUUCACAAGAUUGUUUUCUGGGGGGGGCGGACAAAGUGUCUGGAGCAGGUUGAGAUUUUCACCUCACAAGUCGAUCAUAGUGAUCACACAUUAAGAUUUAUUAUUUUGACAGGAAGUAACAGUGAGAAUAAAUUUUUCCUCAGGCCAAAGACAAACUCAGGAAGUUUGAGGAGAAAUGCAGUUUCCUCGCUAUCGACCUUAAGUUUCUUGAAAAAGUGCAACAAAUUUUUACAAACACGAGGGUCCAGAUCAAAAGCGAGGCAUGCAAAAGAGUAACAUGCAAAAAAAGACAAUUGACAGCAUGCUGACUAAUUUAAAGGAAAUGACUGCUAAGUAUGAUCAACCCAGCUCCGAUAAGAAGGUAAACGACCAUAUAUAUUAUUAGAUUUACAUUUAUGUCAUUAUAAUACUGGACUACAGGAAAAUAUUUGUAUUGUAGAUUGUAACCAUAGUGGAGAUAACCAUUAACAACUUCUCUGAUGGAGGAACUAAAGAAGAGGUGUCAGUAUCUUGACUGUUUCUUGGAUGCCUCUAUGGCUGUCCCCCGAUUGAAGACUCUGCUUCAAGGGGCUUUUGCAGUUGCAGCUCAGCCCAGGUCCCGUAAACAGGGGAAAAAAGGCAGUCCAGAUGGAGAUGGUCUGCUCCAUUCUAGCGGCAUUGGAGUGUCCUUCCUGGAUGAUGCGGUGGUGGGGGUUAUCAAAGGCCUACUUAAGGUAGGCAAAGCACAACACCUCAAGGAGGCAAACGCUGACCCAAUAGAAAGACGCCCUUCAGCAGCAAGGCUAAACUCCCCUCUUGGAUCAGAUUGGAGGUCAGGAAAGAGCCCCAGUCAGUCUGGAAUAGAGACUCUGCGCAGAAAGUCAGUGGAGUCGGUGACCGCACAGAGGAGUUCUAUAAGAAGAAAGAGUGCCGCCCCAUUACUUGGCCUGAGCAACUGCAGGAGACAUUUAAUCAGUGUGCAGAGGAGAUACACAAAAGACUUCUCAUCUACCAGAGCCAGUCACAUGAUUACCACAACAGAUGGCUGCAAGAAUUUCAGCUGCAGUUGAAGGCCAUUGAGGAGUUUCUGUCCAGCGUACCAGAGAAGCUUUUUUCUAAACUAAUAGAUCGAUAUCUUGAGAAGCUGAUGCAAAGCAUGACACAAAUUCAACACCGGUUUCAACUAGCUCAGCAGCGGAGUGAACAAAAGAGGGUAUGUGAACAAAUGCAGAACAAUGGUGGGAGCAGAGGAAAUUAUACUAUACUUUCAAGUUCCUCCCAUGUAGUCACUCUGAGGAAGAUGCCAUUAAACUGUCACAAUGCAAGAGACUGUUAUCCACGCUAUAUAUAUGCAAAAUAUUGAACACAUACAUGCAACCGUAGCUAUUCAUAAAGAGUAGUAACUAGGUUUGUUCUGUUUAGUGGGCUGCUGUCAUAGAGGGAACACAGUGGUCAGUUGCAUGUGCGUCUGAGCCAUCCAGCCUGUGAGACAGAACUGAAACAGCUGCUGCUGGCUGAGGAGAAGAGACAGACAGAGCAGAGACAAGCCAUCCAGAAUACCAGACAGGAAGUACAGGUUACAGAUUUACUGUUUCAAACUUUAACUCAAAUAAUCGCUGUAUAGCUUUUAUUGCUUUUUAAAAAAAAAAAAUCACAAAAGUUAAACUUGGUCUUCUUGUUUCUGGACAGGCCUGUGCUCUCAGAAAUGCAGAAGAAUUUGUCACUGCUCUUGCUAGGUUGGCGGAGGCCUUACUUUUCCAGUUCGACAACCUCAUAACCAUUCAUGAGGUUCAAGUGGGAUGUAAGGUUAUGAAUUAAUGUAUGUAAAUGUAGAUGGUGCCACAGCACAGGUUUGAUAGGGUCUCGAUCAGUGUUGACGCAUUAUAAGCUAUAUGAAUAUAAUUAUAGGCAAUAGGUAAUCAGAUUUUUUUCAUGUAAGUGUUUGCUAAUAAAAAAAGUAUAUGUUGUAUAUAAAAGUAUAUA
ensembl:lncRNA